GCACCGGAUGGGAGUUAUACCGCAGUGACCCAGAACCGGACAUCGAAGGAGAGCGAUGUCAGAUGUCCGGACGGUGC
rnacentral:ncRNA from 1 species